rnacentral:lncRNA from 1 species
AUGCAAACUUCAUGUGAAUGCUCUGUGCUGUGUCUUCAGGGCUGUUACAGGGCCAUGGUUUGGUCCUUGUCUAUCCUUACAGGCCUACACUUUUUUGCAAGAAAGUCACAGUGCCACGUGUGCUUGCUGAUUCAAUCUGGGAGGAGGACAGAGAGCAGACACAGUGGUGCCACUCCUUUUGCUGAACACCAGACAGGACCAUCAGGUUGCUUGGUGUGGGUGUACCAGCAGACCAGAAUACCCAAAGGAUUAAAUAUCUGUACUUGAUGCUUAGCAGGCAAGUGAGAUUUGUGUGCUAGUGACUUGUUUGCACCAAGUCCCCUCUUGGGCAAUGUCAGGUUCCAGGGCUGAUGAUCCAGCACCUUUCAGGAUCUCUGCAUUAACAAAAACAAAACACAACAUUGUGCUUCUGAGCACAAAUGCAUUCUUAAUAGAAUAAUCCUUCAUUUCAGUGUUUCUGUGAGACAUGGGAUCACUGUCUGAAUUGCUUUGACAAAAGAAAAUCAAGUUUGUUUAUUUUCUUGUUAUGUUUUGUUGUGUUUUCAACUAGGGCUUUACUAAUUAAGCAGCAAUUUAGUUGCUUACACUUUGAAGUUUCAUUCAUUACCUGUCCUGUGUUAAGUCAACAAAAGGCUACAUCUAAGGCAGCAAGUCUCAGGCCAUCGCUUUUUUGGCUGCCUAAUUAAAUGUAAUUACUUUAUUUUGUGCCAGGGUUCAUACUUGUAACAUUGCCUUGUAAUAAUUUAAAUUGUAUGUAUGCUGCAGGGGGACUGUUUGACGCCAGAGAGGAGACGUUCCUGCUGUCCUUCCUUGCAAUAGCAUGCAAGUCAAAAGUACAGAGACGUCAUUUUCCUACCUACUUAUUAGCUGCCCUACAGGAGAAGCUCACCAGUAAGGCACUCAUUUUAUAUGGACAGGAUGUCUAACGGACCCACUAUUGUGCCUAAAAAUAGCCUGCAUUCAGGACAUGCUGGGAUUAGCCACAGAGGGAAUCCUAGACAUUUAAAAGUGAGUGACCUUCCCAUGGCACACGAGCUUUGCAUCCGUUCUCUUUUAUUUUAUAAUUAUGACAGAUCAAAAGCAUUACACUGCCACUCAUUAUCUCUUUAGAGGGAUUUGAAGAAUUACUGUCCUCGUGACAAGCAAAAUACUCCUGCUGCUUCUAUUUGUUGAGAUCAAGCAGUAAAUACCCCUCAAACAGCAAAAUCACCUGUAUUUCAUUUUUCCCCUCACGGAUUAAGAAAAAGGUUGUUGCAGGAAGAGUAAA